rnacentral:rRNA from 2 species
ACCGGUCCAGACUCCUACGGGAGGCAGCAGUGGGGAAUAUUGCACAAUGGGCGAAAGCCUGAUGCAGCUAUACCGCGUGUAUGAAGAAGGCCUUAGGGUUGUAAAGUACUUUCGUUGGGGAGGAAAAAUAAAUAGAUAAUACCUGUUUAUCGUGACGUUACCCAAAAAAGAAGCACCGGCUAACUCCGUGCCAGCAGCCGCGGUAAUACGGAGGGUGCAAGCGUUAAUCAGAAUUACUGGGCGUAAAGAGCUCGUAGGCGGUUUUUUAAGUCAGAUGUGAAAUCCCUGGGCUUAACCUAGGAACUGCAUUUGAAACUAAAAGACUAGAGUAUCGUAGAGGGAGGUAGAAUUCUAGGUGUAGCGGUGAAAUGCGUAGAUAUCUGGAGGAAUACCUGUGGCGAAAGCGGCCUCCUAAAUGAAUACUGACGCUGAGGUGCGAAAGCAUGGGGAGCAAACAGGAUUAGAUACCCUGGUAGUCCAUGCCGUAAACGAUGUCGACUUGGAGGUUGUUUCCUUGAGAAGUGACUUCCGAAGCUAACGCGUUAAGUCGACCGCCUGGGGAGUACGGUCGCAAGGCUAAAACUCAAAUGAAUUGACGGGGGCCCGCACAAGCGGUGGAGCAUGUGGUUUAAUUCGAUGCAACGCGAAAAACCUUACCUGGUCUUGACAUCCACAGAAUUUUUCAGAGAUGAAAAAGUGCCUUAGGGAACUGUGAGACAGGUGCUGCAUGGCUGUCGUCAGCUCGUGUUGUGAAAUGUUGGGUUAAGUCCCGCAACGAGCGCAACCCUUAUCCUCUGUUGCCAUUGGUUCGGCCAGGAACUCAGAGGAGACUGCCGGUUAUAAACCGGAGGAAGGCGGGGACGACGUCAAGUCAUCAUGGCCCUUACGACCAGGGCUACACACGUGCUACAAUGGUGUAUACAAAGAGAAGCAACUCUGUAAAGACAAGCAAACCUCAUAAAGUACAUCGUAGUCCGGACUGGAGUCUGCAACUCGACUCCACGAAUCCGGGAAA